CCGUUUGCUUCAAUGUGUUGAAUUCAUGUUAAUGUGUAUUUAAAGAGAAUACAAAAAAAAAUUGUCUCAUCAACCAAAAAUUUCGCGACCCCCCUGCAGUACCUCCGCGGACCCCCUGUUGAAGGCCUCUGUCUCAUAAGAUGUGACAGAAUUAUCCAGUUCCAAGGGAAAAACCCUCUACCAACCCCACCAGUGGAGGUUGUUGUUUCUGAACCACUACUAAAGUUAGUGUACUCCACCCUCCGGUACCUCCAUCAUUGCUGCAAACAGGAGGAAAGCUACUUACAGAUGAGGAACUAAAUAGUUGAUGGAAAAUUUGAUCAUCACCAUCUCUCCUUCGUCUUCUAGAAAUGACACAACUACAUUUACAAAUAACAGACCUAUGAACUAUUUCCUCUUUGGAUAUGUGGUUUAAAGGUUUUGCUGCCAAUUCACACCUCUAAAUAAACCUCUGAUGACAUCAGGACCACAGAGAGCCGUCACAUCUCCCACCGCAAAAUAAAGACACACCUCUACCUCGACUAAAGGACUAACAAAUUGUAGCACUUAAAUUCUACUUAUAACGCCACUAAUCUAUAGCAAACUAACUUAUUUGAUAAAAUCACACUUUCUUGUUUGUAUCCCUACGGUUGAAUGCACUUAUUGUAAGUCGCUUUGGAUAAAAGCGGCAGCUAAAUAACUUGUAAUGUAAAACAAGAUGUGUGGCUGUGGUGUCACACGACCAUGACUCACGACAGAGCUGAUCCGCUUCUACAGAGAUGCAUGAUAUCAUGUUUUAAAGAUAAGAAGUAGAAAUUAAGUUCAAUAAACUGCAUAAACAGUUUAUUUACAAAUUGAUGCAACAUGUUUCUAGUAAAACAUUGUGAUUACAAAGAACAGCAACAACCACAAAGUUAAUAGAUGUGUAAAGGUCUGACAAACAAGUUCCCCUCUCUGAUCCGCUCCUCCUCAUUUUAAUACUGCAAGUAGAAAAGAUUAAAUCAUUCAUUUUAGUAAAGAGAAGGUACAGAACGGCCUCUGGGUAGAACGUUUCUGUGUCCAAACUUUAUCACUAUUGGAAAACUUUGGCACUUCUACAAAUGAAAUCACCUCACAGUGCAACAAGCAGACCAUGCAGUGCAUUAGUGCACGUGACGUGAACCCUGAUCAGAUGGUUGUAGAUCUCGGAGCACGCUGCCAGGAAUUGAGUCCCUGGUACUGAGCAAAGAAGUCAAAGACUAAGAAGAGUUUUAACUUCAAAAACAGGUUGUAUUGAAAACACAUCGAACUGAAACUUUGCAUCUACUAAACAACAUGAUGUGAUAUGUAUGAUACUUUGGUUAAACCAUGUUUAAACUGCAGCAGAAGGAACACAGUUUCAUGUUCUAGUGCUGUAGAAGUGAACAGGGGAGGAAAAGGCAUUCACUAUUCUACGGGAGGCUGAUGAGUUUCACAGAGCUUCGUGUGAAAGGGAAGGAAGUUAAAAUGAAGAAGAGGAGGAGAAAAUGUCCAACCUGAUGAUGUCAUGUCACCC
ensembl:lncRNA